CCCAUAUGAGCUGCCACCAAUGGCACAUGCAGUCCUGGAGAGGAUCAUUUGCCUUUUUGAAGGCAUGCUUGAAGCAUGGCAGCCUGAAAAUGACAAAAUGGGGCAGCAAGAGAGGACAGAAGAUGACCAGAGAGAACAGGGGGAGGGAGGUGAAGUAGUAGGGACGGAGGAGAGGAGGGAUGAGGAGGAGAUGGAGACAGAGGUAGAGAGAGGAACACUGACAGACACGAGAGAUGAGACGGAGGGAGAGCAAGAAGAGCCUGAAGUGAUGGAGAAAGGAGAGAUGGAGAUAGAGGGGGAGAUAGAAACCAUGACAGACACGAGAGAUGAGAAAGAGGGAGAGCAAGAAGAGUCUGAAGUGACGGAGAAAGGAGAGAUGGAGAAGACAGAUGAUGUAGAAAUCGAAAAGAAAAGGGAUGCAGAAAAACCGAUGUUUAAGAAGAAGAGAAGGGGAGCAAAUGGGAAUCCAGCUGUCAAAAUUUUGGCUAAGGCAAACAGAAAGACGAACAAGGAAGAUGAUUGCCCGUUUCACAGGCUAGAAAUCUACCCUGUCAAAUGUGUAGUGAAGACACGUGAAAGAAAGGGCUGCAAAGAGGUACUUGUCCAUUGGCUCCCAUGCCCCUCAUGCCAAAAGACCUGGCCCCCAUCUUGGGAACCCCAAGAUAAUGUAACCAUGGCCCUGUCAUAAGGACACAGUCAUUUAUUGAACAAGUUAAAAAUAUAAUAAUAGUAUAUAUGGCGGAGGGAUGACGUAUGUUGGCCAACCCAGAAGUGAGCGUCGCCCUGGGUUCCCUUGACAACAAGCCAACGGGUUUUUCCAUUGGAUUUUGGAUUGUUGCAGAAAAUGUUGCAUUUUUGAAGCACCUUCUCAAAAACUGAUAAUAAAUAAAUAAAUAAAAAUAACCGUGCUCCAAAGGACGAAAUGUAAACCAAUGCAUUCUGAAUGGUAGUGUUUCUCCGAUUUUUC
ensembl:lncRNA